rnacentral:lncRNA from 1 species
CCACACCUGGCCUGAUGUAGACAUUUUUAUGACUCUUGGUUCACAGUGUCAAGUUACAUAUAACUCAGAAUUGCCUUAAAUAUUGCUUCCCCUCUCAUUCAAUCUUCUCUUCAAAAUAAAUACUAGUGCAAAGCAACAAGAAAUGAAACAAAGUUCAUUUGCAAGUAUGGACCAGACUAGACUAUUUGUGCCAACCUGCAAGUCAAUAGUGGUUUUUUUUUUAAUGUCAGUACAGCUUAAUGGUUCACAGGGAUUACAAUUUUCAGAUAAACUUAGGAAAAUUUGGUGUUAUAUCCUUGCCUCUUCGGUGAAACUUUAAGACCCCAAAUCUCUUUUUUACUUACUUUUUUUUUCUUCUAGAGCCCUCUGUGGCCCCCUAAGCCUGUAGGUCUGUGUUUUUCAGUUUUGCUGGCCGAGAAAAAAGACCCAAGGGAGUAACAUAUUAUUUUCUACAAGGAUGUUCUAAAACUGCUCAGGCCUGUGAGUGAAAUGAUUUGCUGCACUGCAAGGGAGGGUCUUUCACAGACGAAAGGUUCUUAAUUUGAUGAAGUUCAGUUUAUCACCUUUUCCUUUUUAUUCAUCAUGCAUUUGAUGUCAAGUCAAAGAACUCUGCCUACCCAUAAAUCUCUAAGGUUUUCUCCCGAGUGUUUUCCUAAAAAUUUUAGUUUCACAUGUAAGUCUGUGAUCUACUUUGAGUUAAUUUUUGUAUAAGGUGUGAGACUUAGGGGGGUGUGUGUGUAUGCAUGCACACAUGAGCACACCUAGGCUAUCUCUAGUAUCAUGUGUUCAUUUGUUGAAAAGAUACUCUUUCCUCCAUUAAAUUGUUUUUAUGCCUUUGUCAAAAAUCAGUUGGGCAUAUUUGUGUGGGUCUGCUUCUAGGUUCCCUGUUUCAUUUCAGUGUUCCAUGUGUCUGUCUCCACCAAUACCACCCUGUUUUGAUUACUACAGCUAAAUAGUAAUCCUUAACAUUGGUAGAGUGAUU